GCACACUGCCUAUGUCAAGUUAAAACCGAACCGGUUCACAAAGACGAAAAAAGCUCCGCGUGUUUUAUUUUUAUCUUGGGCCGAUUCACCAUCAAUCCAGCAACACCAAGCAAACCUGCAGAAGCCUUCAACAAUCCGCAUCAAGAUCAGCAGCAGUGGCUUACGCGACAUUCUCUUCAACAUCCAACAAUUCCUAUGAUAGCCACCGGCUAACUUAUCCAUGGUCCAUCGAGGAGUUAAAAGGAGCAGCGAUUUAUCAGACAAGCCGCAAACGGGCACUCUGCCUAUGUCAAGUUAAAACCGAACCGGUUCACAAAGACGAAAAAAGCUCCGCGUGUUUUAUUUUUAUCUUGGGCCGAUUCACCAUCAAUCCAGCAACACCAAGCAAACCUGCAGAAGCCUUCAACAAUCCGCAUCAAGAUCAGCAGCAUUGGCUUACGCGACAUUCUCUUCAACAUCCAACAAUUCCUAUGAUAGCCACCGGCUAACUUAUCCAUGGUCCAUCGAGGAGUUAAAAGGAGCAGCGAUUUAUCAGACAAGCCGCAAACGGGCACACUGCCUAUGUCAAGUUAAAACCGAACCGGUUCACAAAGACGAAAAAAGCUCCGCGUGUUUUAUUUUUAUCUUGGGCCGAUUCACCAUCAAUCCAGCAACACCAAGCAAACCUGCAGAAGCCUUCAACAAUCCGCAUCAAGAUCAGCAGCAGUGGCUUACGCGACAUUCUCUUCAACAUCCAACAAUUCCUAUGAUAGCCACCGGCUAACUUAUCCAUGGUCCAUCGAGGAGUUAAAAGGAGCAGCGAUUUAUCAGACAAGCCGCAAACGGGCACUCUGCCUAUGUCAAGUUAAAACCGAACCGGUUCACAAAGACGAAAAAAGCUCCGCGUGUUUUAUUUUUAUCUUGGGCCGAUUCACCAUCAAUCCAGCAACACCAAGCAAACCUGCAGAAGCCUUCAACAAUCCGCAUCAAGAUCAGCAGCAUUGGCUUACGCGACAUUCUCUUCAACAUCCAAUCAAUUCCUAUGAUAGCCACCGGCUAACUUAUCCAUGGUCCAUCGAGGAGUUAAAAGGAGCAGCGAUUUAUCAGACAAGCCGCAAACGGGCACUCUGCCUAUGUCAAGUUAAAACCGAACCGGUUCACAAAGACGAAAAAAGCUCCGCGUGUUUUAUUUUUAUCUUGGGCCGAUUCACCAUCAAUCCAGCAACACCAAGCAAACCUGCAGAAGCCUUCAACAAUCCGCAUCAAGAUCAGCAGCAUUGGCUUACGCGACAUUCUCUUCAACAUCCAACAAUUCCUAUGAUAGCCACCGGCUAACUUAUCCAUGGUCCAUCGAGGAGUUAAAAGGAGCAGCGAUUUAUCAGACAAGCCGCAAACGGGCACUCUGCCUAUGUCAAGUUAAAACCGAACCGGUUCACAAAGACGAAAAAAGCUCCGCGUGUUUUAUUUUUAUCUUGGGCCGAUUCACCAUCAAUCCAGCAACACCAAGCAAACCUGCAGAAGCCUUCAACAAUCCGCAUCAAGAUCAGCAGCAUUGGGUUACGCGACAUUCUCUUCAACAUCCAACAAUUCCUAUGAUAGCCACCGGCUAACUUAUCCAUGGUCCAUCGAGGAGUUAAAAGGAGCAGCGAUUUAUCAGACAAGCCGCAAACGGGCACACUGCCUAUGUCAAGUUAAAACCGAACCGGUUCACAAAGACGAAAAAAGCUCCGCGUGUUUUAUUUUUAUCUUGGGCCGAUUCACCAUCAAUCCAGCAACACCAAGCAAACCUGCAGAAGCCUUCAACAAUCCGCAUCAAGAUCAGCAGCAUUGGCUUACGCGACAUUCUCUUCAACAUCCAUCAAUUCCUAUGAUAGCCACCGGCUAACUUAUCCAUGGUCCAUCGAGGAGUUAAAAGGAGCAGCGAUUUAUCAGACAAGCCGCAAACGGGCACACUGCCUAUGUCAAGUUAAAACCGAACCGGUUCACAAAGACGAAAAAAGCUCCGCGUGUUUUAUUUUUAUCUUGGGCCGAUUCACCAUCAAUCCAGCAACACCAAGCAAACCUGCAGAAGCCUUCAACAAUCCGCAUCAAGAUCAGCAGCAUUGGGUUACGCGACAUUCUCUUCAACAUCCAACAAUUCCUAUGAUAGCCACCGGCUAACUUAUCCAUGGUCCAUCGAGGAGUUAAAAGGAGCAGCGAUUUAUCAGACAAACCGCAAACGGGCACACUGCCUAUGUCAAGUUAAAACCGAACCGGUUCACAAAGACGAAAAAAGCUCCGCGUGUUUUAUUUUUAUCUUGGGCCGAUUCACCAUCAAUCCAGCAACACCAAGCAAACCUGCAGAAGCCUUCAACAAUCCGCAUCAAGAUCAGCAGCAUUGGGUUACGCGACAUUCUCUUCAACAUCCAACAAUUCCUAUGAUAGCCACCGGCUAACUUAUCCAUGGUCCAUCGAGGAGUUAAAAGGAGCAGCGAUUUAUCAGACAAAGUAAAAUUUUUGUUAUAACUUUUUUCCCCAAUGUAAAUUGCAAGUUAAAAAAGAAAUAGCAACCACGUGCAGACACACACAAGUGCAAGUGCAAAAAUACACUCUCGGCUCAAACAUUACCCGCUAGUGUUGAUACAAAAAUAAUAAAUUAA